UGGGGAAUAUUGGACAAUGGGCGAAAGCCUGAUCCAGCCAUGCCGCGUGUGUGAAGAAGGUCUUCGGAUUGUAAAGCACUUUAAGUUGGGGGGAAGGGCAGUAAGCGAAUACCUUGCUGUUUUGACGUUACCGACAGAAUAAGCACCGGCUAACUCUGUGCCAGCAGCCGCGGUAAUACAGAGGGUGCAAGCGUUAAUCGGAAUUACUGGGCGUAAAGCGCGCGUAGGUGGUUCGUUAAGUUGAAUGUGAAAGCCCCGGGCUCAACCUGGGAACUGCAUCCAAAGCUGGCGAGCUAGAGUAGGGCAGAGGGUGGUGGAAUUUCCUGUGUAGCGGUGAAAUGCGUAGAUAUAGGAAGGAACACCAGUGGCGAAGGCGACCACCUGGGCUCAUACUGACACUGAGGUGCGAAAGCGUGGGGAGCAAACAGG
rnacentral:rRNA from 1 species